rnacentral:rRNA from 1 species
UACGGAGGGGGCUAGCGUUGUUCGGAUUACUGGGCGUAAAGCGUGCGUAGGUGGUUUGUUAAGUCUGUUGUGAAAGCCCCGGGCUCAACCUGGGAAUGGCAAUGGAUACUGGCAGGCUAGAGUGCGGUAGAGGGUAGUGGAAUUCCCGGUGUAGCGGUGAAAUGCGUAGAGAUCGGGAGGAACACCAGUGGCGAAGGCGGCUACCUGGACCAGCACUGACACUGAGGCACGAAAGCGUGGGGAGCAAACAGG